CAAGGCAGUCGGCAUCACGGCGCUUCACUACGAGCAUACGAUGAGCAAUAAAUUUUUAGUCGGUUUGGUGAACGGCCUGGUCUUCAACAUCAACAGGAAAAAUAUUUCACCCGAUGAACAGUUUACGAUGAAGUUCGAAUGCUAUACCGGGGCUGUGCACGCUUUAGACAGAAAUCCGUUCGUGCCGAAGAAUUUCCUAUCGAUAGGCGAUUGGUCGGCUAAAAUAUGGUCGGAGGACACGAGGGAAAGCUACCUGUUCAAUACCCGCGAGCAGAAAGUGAGCUUGACUGGCGGCUGUUGGAGCAGAUCUAGGGGUUCGAUAUUUUUCACCACGAAUAAAGAUGGCCUGCUGGAAGCGUACGAUAUUCUGACGGGUAUGCAAAACCCAUUGGCUUCGAUUCACGUCUGCAGCGAUAGCUUGACCGCGAUCAGUCCUAACGAUGAGGGCGAAUUGAUUGCCGUUGGCAGCUCGAAAGGCACGGUUUACAUAUUGGAAUGUCUCGAAGGUCUCACCUCGUUCAGCAGAGAAGACAAAGGUCACUUACUUAGUUACAUGGAGGGGGCCAACAGAUUCGAGAGGGUGUUGGAUAACCGGCUGAGGGAAAUACGGUUGUAUCGUAGUACCAUCGACGAGGGGCCGGUCGAACAUGUGGGAAAGUCGAAAGCAAAGAUCAAAGCGAAGGAGGAACCGAAGGCAAAGAAGAAGAUCGAGGAUACGAAGAAGAAACCGAAGGAGGACAAGAAACUGAAGAGGGUUAGGUCGAAGAGGAAGGAAUCCGCUCUGGUCGAUGUCGAUCUGAUCGAGGCGCAAAAACGUUAUUUUGAAAUCGUCGAAGCGGAGAUUGAGAAAAUGGUGGACAUCGAUCCGGAGGACAAGGCGGCGGUUCAAUCGUUGCUGGAAAUGCGAGUGGUGAUGAAGUCGGAAGAUCCGUCCGAGCAGGAGGAGGAGGACGAUCUGCCGAAAGUCAGGAGCCAAAAGUCCAUCAGGAUGAGAAAGAUGCCGAGGCGACCGAGGAAAACCAGCUUGACAGUUGCCGAAUCGGACUUGUUGAUAGAGCCCAUCAUGGCCGACGAUAAGGCCGGGCAUAGGGGCAAGGGAGCGAGGCGUUACUCGAUCUUGAAGACUUGCCCGCUGGAAGUCUGCAAGCCGGAAAUUUGUUGCAAGGACGUAAUGGGGAAACGAAAGCGCCUCAAGCCGAAGAAGAAAAUAUCAGUGGAGGAUCUGAAGCCUCCAAAGAUGCUAACACCGUUCGUGAUUCAGAGCAAAAGCUAUCAAACGCUGGCCGAUUUCACGGACCAGUUCGAGAAGCCUACGCAAGAGAUGAGAAGGAAGAUCCUGAAGCAACGUCUCCUGCCUCCGAGCAUCCUGAAAAAGGAGCUGGCACUAGCGAAGUCAGCUAUCCGUAGGUGGCAAGAGGAGAUCUUAGCCGGCAAGCUCAGCUUCCGCGCGGUGAAGAGGACCAUCAGUCUGAAAUCGCUGAUGAGCACAGCCAGUGCGAUGGAUCCAGAGUCCAGUGAUCAGCUGGCGGAGAAGAUGCCUGACCAUCCAGAGGCGAGGUCUCGGACUAUUUCGAUGUUACGAAGAGGCGCCGGCAAGAGAAGGAGGACCAAAGUCACGGUGGAGGAUGAGGAAGAACUGAUCGAACAAGAGAAGCAGCGACGAUGGCAGGAACUGAAGAUGAAGGUGAAAGAGUUCGAGUCGAAGCGGCAUUCCAAGGGAACCUACCCUAGGAUAUCCGCUGCAAGAAGAACAUCCAAAAUGGAAGACGUGCCGUGAGAUUAAUUAGGUGAACGAGCUUGGAGCGUCUAGGUUGGAACUACUGCAGAAACUGUGUUACGGAAAUUCUAGGAGGAUUCUUGGAUUGCGUUCGUAAGUUUUCCGAAGCAACCGAUUCUACAAACAAAAGAGCAACCACAAAUCAAGAAGUUUGACAAGCAAUUCCUAAAGAGGAGUUAAUCUACCCUCUAAAUGGCGGAAUUGGACAUCGACCAGGUCCAGUCGAGUGCCCAAAAUAUCAGCGUAAAUCAUCGGAUGAUCGUCGAGGAGCCAGCGCGUCGUCGACCGGACAUUCUAUUUUCUUGUCCGCGGCAUUUCGACGGAGUCUCGGAAUACUUUCGCAAAGUUAUCCGUGGAACUCGCAGAAUUCGGAGUAUCUUCGGGAAGAAUCGCGUUCUACGGACCCGACGGUCCAUCAGCGACCCCAAAAUACGCGAGAACGGGACAUUCACUGAGCGAAGUGUCUCUUCGGAGGCAGACGACGAUUCUGCUCGAGUGUGUCGGAAUACGUUGUCAAGGAGCUGGAGGGUAGCAAAUUGUUUACCAGGAAAUAGUCUAGUAGAGCCGGUUACUGCGGGGUGAUCAAUUGCUGUGCCUCUGGUUACCUUUCCGAUA